rnacentral:tRNA from 1 species
GCUAAUUUGGCAGAAAAGUGCAUUGGAUUUAAGCUUCAAAUAUGUAUUGAUAUCACUACAUUUAGCA